rnacentral:rRNA from 1 species
GACGAACGCUGGCGGCGUGCUUAACACAUGCAAGUCGAACGGAAAGGCCCUGCUUUUGUGGGGUGCUCGAGUGGCGAACGGGUGAGUAACACGUGAGUAACCUGCCCUUGACUUUGGGAUAACUUCAGGAAACUGGGGCUAAUACCGGAUAGGAGCUCCUGCUGCAUGGUGGGGGUUGGAAAGUUUCGGCGGUUGGGGAUGGACUCGCGGCUUAUCAGCUUGUUGGUGGGGUAGUGGCUUACCAAGGCUUUGACGGGUAGCCGGCCUGAGAGGGUGACCGGCCACUUGGGGAUUGGGUACCGGCCCGAACCCUACGGGAGGCCACAGUGGGGAAUUUUGCCACAUGGGCCGGAGCCCGAAUGAGGCACCCCCCGGUGGGGGAGGCGGCCUUUCGGUUGUAAACCGCUUUCGCCUGUGACGAAGCGUGAGUGACGGUAAUGGGUAAAGAAGCACCGGCUAACUACGUG